GAAACGACUGAUAAGACUGGAUAGGAGACAAGAGGGCAUCUUCUUGUUUUUAAAAGAUCUAGCAAUAGGUAUGCUUAGGGAGGAGCUUGCGUCUCAUUAGUUAGUUGGUGGGGUAAAGGCCUACCAAGACUAUGAUGUGUAGCCGGGCUGAGAGGUUGAACGGCCACAUUGGGACUGAGACACGGCCCAAACUCCUACGGGAGGCAGCAGUAGGGAAUUUUCGGCAAUGGAGGAAACUCUGACCGAGCAACGCCGCGUGAACGAUGAAGUAUUUCGGUACGUAAAGUUCCUUUAUUAGGGAAGAAUAAAUGAUGGAAAAAUCAUUCUGACGGUACCUAAUGAAUAAGCCCCGGCUAACUAUGUGCCAGCAGCCGCGGUAAUACAUAGGGGGCAAGCGUUAUCCGGAAUUAUUGGGCGUAAAGGGUGCGUAGGCGGUUAAAUAAGUUUAUGGUCUAAGUGCAAUGCUCAACAUUGUGAUGCUAUAAAAACUGUUUAGCUAGAGUAAGAUAGAGGCAAGUGGAAUUCCAUGUGUAGUGGUAAAAUGCGUAAAUAUAUGGAGGAACACCAGUAGCGAAGGCGGCUUGCUGGGUCUUUACUGACGCUGAGGCACGAAAGCGUGGGGAGCAAACAGGAUUAGAUACCCUGGUAGUCCACGCCGUAAACGAUGAGUACUAAACGUUGGGUAAAACCAGUGUUGAAGUUAACACAUUAAGUACUCCGCCUGAGUAGUACGUACGCAAGUAUGAAACUUAAAGGAAUUGACGGGACUCCGCACAAGCGGUGGAUCAUGUUGUUUAAUUCGAAGGUACCCGAAAAACCUCACCAGGUCUUGACAUGCUUCUGCAAAGCUGUAGAAACACAGUGGAGGUUAUCAGUUGCACAGGUGGUGCGUGGUUGUCGUCAGCUCGUGUCGUGAGAUGUUGGGUUAAGUCCCGCAACGAGCGCAACCCUUAUUGUUAGUUACCAGCACGUAAUGGUGGGGACUUUAGCAAGACUGCCAGUGAUAAAUUGGAGGAAGGUGGGGACGACGUCAAAUCAUCAUGCCCCUUAUGACCUGGGCUACAAACGUGAUACAAUGGCUGUUACAAAGGGUAGCUGAAGCGCAAGUUUUUGGCGAAUCUCAAAAAAACAGUCUCAGUUCGGAUUGAAGUCUGCAACUCGACUUCAUGGAGUUGGAAUCGCUAGUAAUCGCGAAUCAGCAUGUCGCGGUGAAUACGUUCUCGGGGUUUGUACACACGGCCCGUC
rnacentral:rRNA from 1 species